rnacentral:lncRNA from 1 species
AUGGGCGAGGCACCAUCCCUGUGAACACAGCCUGUGUCUGGCACGCGUAUUUUAGGGCUGAGGUUGUAUCUUACAAGGUGAAAUGAAAUGGCCGGCAAACUCUAGAAAUUCUUCGUUUACGUAGUUAGUGGCUCUUCGACGUUCUCUCAGAGCUCGCUCUGGUUUCCCGCCUGACGGUCUCCCCUUGAACAGCUGCACUUAAGUGAGGUCCACCCUUGCCCCACUCCCAGGCGGGCUCACUGGCUUGGCACACGAGGGAGUCUGAGGGAGCCCCCUGUGGGGUGGUGCCUGCAUUCUGGGCUCCCAAGAGCUGGCUUCCUGCAGGGGAACCUGCCAGUGCACCCCCGGCACUUUCCUGGGAUCGAGUCUCCGCCAGGGAUGUCUCCUGGCUUGGUCCUCAAGGGUCUGCCAGCCUCAUACCCCGCAGGGCACGGUGGGCUCUCCAAGGCCAGGCAGGGCCUUUUUGACGGGUUCAGCCUAAGCCCAGGGCUGGCAGUGAGCCUGGCUCUCGCCCAGCAGUGGGGUCUCUGUCCACCCUGCAUCGUGCUCAGCCUCCCCCAGGCAACUGCGCUCUUCCUCUCAGCAGCCAUGCGCCCCCUGGGCCGUGUGGCCACACUCCUGCCCUGUGCUUGGCCUCUCUGGGGUGGGCGCCUCGGGCACCAGGGCCACAGCCAGGGAUCAGGGCCACUGCCGAGGGCCGUGGUGGAGCAGGCCUGGGACCAUGAGCCUGUGUGCUCUCUGCAUGCAGAGGCGUGCGUGUGUGUGCGUGUGUGCUCUGCGUGCACAGGUGUGCGUGUGUGCUGUGUGCAUGCAGAGGCAUGUAUGUGUGUGUGUGCAUGCACAGGUGUGUGCAUGUGUGCUGUGUGCAUGCACAGGCGUGCAUGUGUGUGCAUGUGUGCUCUGCAUGCAUAGGCGUGCAUGCGUGUAUGCUGUGUGCAUGCACAGGUUUGUGUGUGUGUGCGUGUGCUCUGCAUGCACAGGUGUGCGUGUGUGUGCAUGUGUGCUCUGUGUGCAUGCACAGGCGUGCAUGUGUGCGUGCGUGUGUCGUCCAGGGGAGCAUCACGGGGAGGCCAGGCGUGUGCCCAGCUCCCCAAGCAAGGCCUCCUGGCUUCCCUUCCGGCUGUCCCGUGGCUCCUGUGUGGCCGGGGCCUCUGGUGUGGGCCGGCAGCUCUUGGCCCCCAAUGGGGAUGGAGCAGCUCCAGGGUGCCUGGGACCAGGCUGGCACUGCUGGCAGAGUCAGUAGGAUGGGUGCAGCCCCUGGGGACAAGGACAGGAAGCAAGGGCAAAGGCACCUCCAGGACAGGCCAGGACAACUUCUUGGCUUCCACGCAGCCUUCCAGAGCAGGGCCACAAUGCUGUCCCUGUUCCAGGCUUUGGAAUGUCCUAGAGAUGCUUCUCAGGUGGCCAGCCCUGAGUCCUGCACUGGAACCCAGAGAGGCAGGGCACAUCCCCAAGGCCACAUUGCCGUGGUCACAGAGCAGGUUAGGGCGCUGGGGGAUCCCCGCCUGGCCUGCCCAGGAGAGAAAGGGCUCUCUGUGCGGCCCCGGUGCUCGAGUCCUGGAGGAGCCUGUGGCUGCAGGCUCUCAGAUCUCCUCCCUUCGGGCGGGGUCUCUGGCACCUCUGCCUCUGACUCACUGGCCACCAAUGGUGUCAGCAGAGGGAGCGGGAGUCCCCGGCUGCCUCAGCAAGGCCCUGUGGUGCCCGCCUGACUCUCAGGGCCUCUCGCUUUUGUUGUCCUGAGUCACCACCAUCAGGAAGUCACACUGCCCUGAGGCGGCUGCGUUGCCAGGAAGCCUAGGCCACGUGGAGAGGCCACUCCAAGAGGCCACAUGGAUGUGCUCAGGGUGACAGCCAGAAGCGACCGCCACAGGUGGAAGUGAGGAACACACUGAAGGCCUCGCUGUGGUUGGGUCACCUGGCCGUUCUCUCCACGGCGAAGUGGAGACCACCAUGGCACUGGGCCCUGCCUGGGUUCCCUUCCCGGGGCCCUUGAGUGCGGCACGAUAAAGGCUGUGCGCAGCUGCCACACCUGGUGUCACUGGUCACUUGGAGUCACUGCAGCACCAGCUGAAGGAGAGAGGGUCCGGCUCAGCUGAGAGGCCGCUUCCCAUCCAGUGACUGGAGGCAACUUUGUUGGAGAGUUUUCCAGCCUGAGACGGAUGCAGGGGAAUUUGGAGACUGGUCCCAGCCAGGGUGCAUCCCAGGGUGUGGUGGGGGCUGCCCCAGUCGGCACGUCCCGCAGAUCCUCACACCCUCUGGCCACUGAAGACCUCUGAGGCCAGCCUAAGGAGGGGCCUGCAGGGCUCUCCUUGUUUUUUUUCUUUGAGGCGGAGUCUCUGUCGCCCGGGCUGGAGUGCAGUGGCAAGAUCUCGGCUCAUUGCAACCU